AGCAGCCGCGGUAAUUCCAGCUCCAAUAGCGUAUAUUAAAGUUGUUGCAGUUAAAAAGCUCGUAGUUGAAUUUCGGGGUUAGUAGGUUGGUCAUGCCUCUGGUAUGUACUGGUCUCACUGAUUCCUCCUUCCUGAUGAGCCGUAGUGCCAUUAAUUUGGUGUUGCGGGGAAUUUGGACUGUUACUUUGAAAAAAUUAGAGUGUUUAAAGCAAGCUAACGCUUGAAUACAUUAGCAUGGAAUAAUGAAAUAGGACGUUCGAUCCUAUUUUGUUGGUUUCUAGGAUUGACGUAAUGAUUAAUAGGGAUAGUUGGGGGCAUUAGUAUUCAAUUGUCAGAGGUGAAAUUCUUGGAUUUAUUGAAGACUAACUACUGCGAAAGCAUUUGCCAAGGAUGUUUUCAUUAAUCAAGAACGAAAGUUAGGGGAUCGAAGACGAUCAGAUACCGUCGUAGUCUUAACCAUAAACUAUGCCGACUAGGGAUCGGAUGAUGUUAAUUUUUUAAUGUACUCAUUCGGCGCCUU
rnacentral:rRNA from 1 species